AGCCAUGUCAUGACUUUAGGUUUGAACCUAAUCCAAUUAAGUUUAUAACAACAGGAUGAGGGUUAGCACAAACACCUGUGCACCAAAUCCAAUUAGAAACUUGGUUUAUGUGUUAGCAAUUUAAUUAACUCAUGAGAUUUACAAUAAAUCCAUUUAGAUUAGAUCAACAUCAAAUUCUUAUUGUGUGUGAUCCAUUAGGUUCUAUAUCUAGCC
rnacentral:lncRNA from 1 species